rnacentral:rRNA from 1 species
CCCUUAGAUGUUCUGGGCCGCGCGCGCGCUACAAUGAUGAAUUCAACGAGUUUAUAACCUUGGUUGAAAAGCCUGGGUAAUCUUUUGAACUUUCGUCGUGAUGGGGCUAGACCCUUGCAAUUAUUGGUCUCCAACGAGGAAUUCCUAGUAAACGCAAGUCAUCAGCUUGCAUUGAUUACGUCCCUGCCCUUUGUACACACCGCCCGUCGCACCUACCGAUUGAAUGGUCCGGUGAAAUCUUCGGAUUGAGACUUUGAUUUCUUCACGGAAAACGCUGUUUUAAGAAGUUGAUUAAACCUUACCAUUUAGAGGAAGGUGAAGUCGUAACA